rnacentral:rRNA from 1 species
GACGAACGCUGGCGGCGUGCCUAAUACAUGCAAGUAGAACGCACAGUUUAUACCGUAGCUUGCUACACCAUAGACUGUGAGUUGCGAACGGGUGAGUAACGCGUAGGUAACCUGCCUGGUAGCGGGGGAUAACUAUUGGAAACGAUAGCUAAUACCGCAUAAUAUUAAUUAUUGCAUGGUAAUUAAUUGAAAGGUGCAAUUGCACCACUACCAGAUGGACCUGCGUUGUAUUAGCUAGUAGGUGAGGUAACGGCUCACCUAGGCGACGAUACAUAGCCGACCUGAGAGGGUGAUAGGCCACACUGGGACUGAGACACGGCCCAGACUCCUACGGGAGGCAGCAGUAGGGAAGCUUCGGCAAUGGACGAAAGUCUGACCGAGCAACGCCGCGUGAGUGAAGAAGGUUUUCGGAUCGUAAAGCUCGGUUGUAAGAGAAGAACGGGUGUGAGAGUGGAAAGUUCACACUGUGACGGUAUCUUACCAGAAAGGGACGGCUAACUACGUG